CCUACGGUGCGCUGCAGUGGGGAAUAUUGGACAAUGGGCGAAAGCCUGAUCCAGCCAUGCCGCGUGUGUGAAGAAGGCCUUCGGGUUGUAAAGCACUUUCAGUGGGGAAGAAAGCCUUGGGGCUAAUACCCUCGAGGAAGGACAUCACCCACAGAAGAAGCACCGGCUAACUCCGUGCCAGCAGCCGCGGUAAUACGGAGGGUGCGAGCGUUAAUCGGAAUUACUGGGCGUAAAGCGCGCGUAGGCGGUCUGAUAAGCCGGUUGUGAAAGCCCCGGGCUCAACCUGGGAACGGCAUCCGGAACUGUCAGGCUAGAGUGCAGGAGAGGAAGGUAGAAUUCCCGGUGUAGCGGUGAAAUGCGUAGAGAUCGGGAGGAAUACCAGUGGCGAAGGCGGCCUUCUGGACUGACACUGACGCUGAGGUGCGAAAGCGUGGGUAGCAAACAGGAUUAGAUACCCGGGUAGUC
rnacentral:rRNA from 1 species